rnacentral:rRNA from 1 species
CAGUGGGGAAUUUUGGACAACUGGGGGCAACCCUGAUCCAGCCAUGCCGCGUGCGGGAAGAAGGCCUUCGGGUUGUAAACCGCUUUUAGCCGGGAAGAAAAGGCACGUCCUAAUACGGGGUGUUCUUGACGGUACCGGCGGAAUAAGCACCGGCUAACUACGUGCCAGCAGCCGCGGUAAUACGUAGGGUGCGAGCGUUAAUCGGAAUUACUGGGCGUAAAGCGUGCGCAGGCGGUUCGUUAAGUUCGAUGUGAAAGCCCCGGGCUCAACCUGGGAACUGCAUUGGAAACUGGCGAGCUUGAGUGUGGCAGAGGGGGGUGGAAUUCCGCGUGUAGCAGUGAAAUGCGUAGAGAUGCGGAGGAACACCGAUGGCGAAGGCAGCCCCCUGGGCCAACACUGACGCUCAGGCACGAAAGCGUGGGGAGCAAACAGGAUUAGAUACCCUGGUAGUCCACGCCCUAAACGAUGCUCACUAGGUGUUGGGGAAGCGAUUCCUUGGUACCGUAGCUAACGCGUGAAGUGAGCCGCCUGGGGAGUACGCGCCUGCAAGGUUAAAACUC